GUACUGUACACUUUCUCUUCCUCCCUUCCCUUCCGACUUGCCCAAUCUUUGAAUCAUUGUCAAGUUCUCAAGUGAGGAUCUUGAGAGUCAACCAAAGAAGAGCAGAAACCAGGGAAAAGCAAUCCCCACUCCCCCACGCCCUGUAGGCAACAAAGGACUGACUAUUCUGAAGUUUCAUCUUAAGGAGCCUGCUAACCCCCAGAAGUAUCCAAGACGCGGGUGGGGUUACACUUUAUACCUCUUGCUACUUUGUACUGCUCAAAGACCACUGGGAGCAAUAGUGACCCAACUUGACUCCAGACACCGCAAUGACCUCCACUACAUUGUCAAAUGGGAAUAUUGAGAGGACGCAUCUCUAUCUUAUCCCGUGAACUUCAACUUUUGACUGUUAAUAAUGAUGUUUGCUGAAGGUUUUUCAGAUUAACGAAUAUCUCUUCUAUUCCUAGUUUGCUUUAGUUGCAUUCCAGAAGUUUUAAAACAUAACCUUUUCAUCAUAUUCAGUUCUAUGUAUUUUUAAAUUUCCAUUAUAUAUUUUCUUUGAUCUAUGAAUUAUUUAAAGUAUGUUUUUCAUUUCCAAAUGUAAGGCUUUUUUUAAUUAAUGUUUUUUGUCAUUGAUUUCUAACAAUUACUUUUGAUAUUUAUUCAUAGAAAAUUCCAUAAUUGUUUAAAAAGAGGCAAUAAUCUCCAACUGCUGAGUGCCACGUUCUCUAUAUGCCAUUUUAUCAAGUUUAUUAAUGUGUUCACGUCUUUUACAUCCUCACUGACUUUUAGCUGCUUAAUCUCUGAAUUGCCAAGAGAAAUGUUAAAAAUCUCCCACUGGCACAGUGGAUCUGUCUAUCUCCCCUCUUAGUGCUGCAAUUGUUUACUUUAUGUAUUUUGAGGAGAUAUAUAUAAAUAAUGUUACAAGUCUAGAAUUGUUAUAUUUGUGUGAAAUUAAGCAUCUUACCAUUGUGUGGUG
rnacentral:lncRNA from 1 species